GAUGAACGCUGGCGGCGUGCUUAACACAUGCAAGUCGAACGAUUAAACUCGACUUUCUGGCUUGCGUAGUUGCCAACGGAUGAGUAACACGUCAGUAACCUGCCCUUCACUCUGAUCUAAGCCACUGACACUAGGUCUAAUACCGUAUAGAAACUCCUACCGCAUGGUGGGUUUUGAAAAGAUAUAUCGUUUUUAGAUGGACUCGCGGCCUAUCAGCUUGUUGGUGACGUAAUGGCUGACCAACGCGACGACAGGUAGCCGGCCUGAGAGGGUUACCGGCCACAAUGGGACUGAGACAAGGCACAGAAGGCUACGGGAGGCAGCAGUGGGGAACAUUGCACAAUGGGCGAAAGCCUGAUGCAGAGACGUCGCGAGCGGGAUGCAGGGAUUCGGGUUGUAAACAUCUUUCAGGAGGGAAGAAGUGAACGUGACGGUACCUGAAGAGAAAGCAACGGCUAACUACGUG
rnacentral:rRNA from 1 species